AUUGAACGCUGGCGGAAUGCUUUACACAUGCAAGUCGAACGGCAGCACGGACUUCGAUCUGGUGGCGAGUGGCGAACGGGUGAGUAAUGUAUCGGAACGUGCCCAGUCGUGGGGGAUAACGUAGUGAAAAUUACGCUAAUACCGCAUACGAUCUAUGGAUGAAAGCGGGGGAUCGCAAGACCUCGCGCGAUUGGAGCGGCCGAUAUCAGAUUAGGUAGUUGGUGGGGUAAAGGCCCACCAAGCCAACGAUCUGUAGCUGGUCUGAGAGGACGACCAGCCACACUGGAACUGAGACACGGUCCAGACUCCUACGGGAGGCAGCAGUGGGGAAUUUUGGACAAUGGGCGAAAGCCUGAUCCAGCCAUUCCGCGUGCAGGAUGAAGGCCCUCGGGUUGUAAACUGCUUUUGUACAGAACGAAAAGGUUUCUACUAAUACUAGGAGCUCAUGACGGUACUGUAAGGAUAAGCACCGGCUAACUACGUGCCAGCAGCCGCAGUAA
rnacentral:rRNA from 1 species